AUUGAACGCUGGCGGCAGGCCUAACACAUGCAAGUCGAAAGAGUGGCGGCCGGGGGAGUAAUGUCUGGGAAACUGCCCGAUGGGGGGGGAUAACUACUGGAAACGGUAGCUAAUACGGCAUACAAUGGGAUGUGCCAAGAUGGGAUUAGCUAGAAGGUGGGGUAACGGCUCACCUAGGCGACGAUCCCUAGCUGGUCUGAGAGGAUGACCAGCCACACUGGAACUGAGACACGGUCCAGACUCCUACGGGAGGCAGCAGUGGGGAAUAUUGCACAAUGGGCGCAAGCCUGAUGCAGCCAUGCCGCGUGUAUGAAGAAGGCCUUCGGGUUGUAAAGUACUUUCAGCGAGGAGGCGUUACUCGCAGAAGAAGCACCGGCUAACUCCGUGCCAGCAGCCGCGGUAAUAC
rnacentral:rRNA from 1 species